GACAUGGCAGAACCAUAUUCUACUUACGAGGAAGAGCAUGUCCUGUGGUGGUCUUUGCAACCCUCUUUGUCAUUGAGAUGGCUCUGAACUGUUAAUCAAGUGGAUGUAUUUCGAUUUAUUUGCAUGGACUUUCAGAAAAACCGUCGUUGGAGAUGUUUUUGUAUAUAUAUUUAUAUAAGUAAUUACGAUAAUAAUUCAAUAAAAUUUAUAUAUUAUUUUGCAUUGAUGUUUUUUUUUUUGUUUCAUUUAAAUUCAGAUUUUUUUUUAUAUAUUAAAUUAUAUUUAGGUAUAUUUCGUUUUAAAUAUCAUAAACAAGAUGACAUUUUAAAUCUAUAGCAUAUAUGUUAUAAUUUAAAUCUGUAAUGCUCA
rnacentral:lncRNA from 1 species